rnacentral:rRNA from 1 species
AUUGAACGCUGGCGGCAGGCCUAACACAUGCAAGUCGAACGGUAACAGGAAACAGCUUGCUGUUUCGCUGACGAGUGGCGGACGGGUGAGUAAUGUCUGGGAAACUGCCUGAUGGAGGGGGAUAACUACUGGAAACGGUAGCUAAUACCGCAUAACGUCGCAAGACCAAAGAGGGGGACCUUCGGGCCUCUUGCCAUCGGAUGUGCCCAGAUGGGAUUAGCUAGUAGGUGGGGUAACGGCUCACCUAGGCGACGAUCCCUAGCUGGUCUGAGAGGAUGACCAGCCACACUGGAACUGAGACACGGUCCAGACUCCUACGGGAGGCAGCAGUGGGGAAUAUUGCACAAUGGGCGCAAGCCUGAUGCAGCCAUGCCGCGUGUAUGAAGAAGGCCUUCGGCUUGUAAAGUACUUUCAGCGGGGAGGAAGGGAGUAAAGUUAAUACCCUUGCUCAUUGACGUUACCCGCAGAAGAAGCACCGGCUAACUCCGUGCCAGCCGCCGCCGUAA